CAUGCCGCGUGAGUGAUGAAGGCCCUAGGGUCGUAAAGCUCUUUCGCCAGGGANGAUAAUGACAGUACCUGGUAAAGAAACCCCGGCUAACUCCGUGCCAGCANCCGCGGUAAUACGGAGGGGGUUAGCGUUGUUCGGAAUUACUGGGCGUAAAGCGCACGUAGGCGGAUUANUCAGUCAGAGGUGAAAUCCCAGGGCUCAACCCNGGAACUGCCUUUGAUACUGCUAGUCUUGAGUUC
rnacentral:rRNA from 1 species